UACGUAGGGGGCUAGCGUUGUCCGGAUUUAUUGGGCGUAAAGAGCGUGUAGGCGGCCAGGUAGGUCUGGUGUGAAAACUCGAGGCUUAACCUCGAGAUGUCAUCGGAAACCAUCUGGCUAGAGUCCGGAAGAGGAGAGUGGAAUUCCUGGUGUAGCGGUGAAAUGCGCAGAUAUCAGGAGGAACACCUGUGGUGUAGACGGCUUACUGGACCGCAACUGACGCUGAGACACGAAAGCGUGGGUAGCAAACAGG
rnacentral:rRNA from 1 species